CUAUUAGUAUAGAAGAUACUAUCUUGACAGAUCUUCUGGGACUCCAUAAUGUAGAAGAAAUCCAUGGUAUAGUUCACAGAGCUGUGCUAAAGUUGGGUACUUGAAACGAACAAGCUGAAUGUGGGCUGCCAUGGAAUUUUCUUAUGAAGAGCAUCACAGGAACAGAGCUGCUUUAUUAGUCAGUUGAUCAGCUGCUUGGGACUCUAGAUAACAAUCAAAUUUCUGUUAUCUGCAAAUAACUUCCACCUGUCAAGAAUGAAGUCUUCUUAUGCCUUGAUUUCUAAAACUGGGCUGUUUGGAAUAUCGGAGGGGAGUUUCCACGUAGCCAAACGUACCUUCUCAUUUCUCUGGUUGUAUUUCACUCUCUUAGACUUCUUGGUCUGAACCAGUACGAAGAACAUGUUCUGUUUCAUUUCCCAGAAAGGAAAUGUCAGGGAGGCCACAGUCUGAAUGGGCAAAUACAUGCAGUUCACCUCUUAAAGAUGGAUUCUCCAAGAUACAUUUGAGUGCAUGGAAAUAGGAAAGACUGUAUUGUUUGUGCUUACACUGUCUGCAGAACAAUGUGACUCAGACUUUUACAUUUGGAGCUCUAAGAUUAUAUCGCUGUAUGUUUACACCAAAUGGAUAUAUAAACUAAAACAAUGCUAUCCCAGUAAUUGGAAAAGACUCCCUGAGAAUUAAAUCCUACUGAAGAGACAGCGUGGAGAGAGAAAAAGGGGAAAAAAGAGCAAAAACAACCUCUCAGUUCAAGUCUUUAAAGAAUGUUGAUGUAAAUGGUAUCCUUUGUAAAGGUUAAUGAGAUGAGCUUCCUAUUUUGUCAGUAUAGAUUGUAGCAUUUAUACUACAUGUGCAGGUUUAUGCUUUUUUCUUUUUAUCAAAAGGUAGAUUCUCAGUUUCAAUACCCUGAUGAAACUGUACAAAAAAUAAUGUGUCCCUAUAUCAUGGAGACCUAUGAAGAAAAGCACAGGGAACACUGGGUUUUUGGCUACUCAGCCCAGGUUGAACUUAUGGGUUCACAAAUCUGAUGGGUUUCAGAUGCACAAAUGCAUUCUCUAGACUGGAAGAGGGCAUGGGUUAGCCCUGAAGAUUACCAUAAGAAACAUGUAUGCAUACCUUGUUUUUGUUUAAUUCACUGAAAAUCUGCACA